rnacentral:snoRNA from 15 species
AAUGAUGAUAUAUAUACAACGGCUUAUGAAAUUAAUGAUUAUAAACUGUGCAUCACCACUCUGAU